rnacentral:rRNA from 1 species
UGGCGGCGUGCUUAACACAUGCAAGUCGAGCGGUAAGGCCCCUUCGGGGGUACACGAGCGGCGAACGGGUGAGUAACACGUGGGUGAUCUGCCCUGCACUUCGGGAUAAGCCUGGGAAACUGGGUCUAAUACCGGAUAUGACCGGAGGCUGCAUGGCUUCUGGUGGAAAGGUUUACUGGUGCAGGAUGGGCCCGCGGCCUAUCAGCUUGUUGGUGGGGUAAUGGCCUACCAAGGCGACGACGGGUAGCCGACCUGAGAGGGUGACCGGCCACACUGGGACUGAGACACGGCCCAGACUCCUACGGGAGGCAGCAGUGGGGAAUAUUGCACAAUGGGCGAAAGCCUGAUGCAGCGACGCCGCGUGAGGGAUGACGGCCUUCGGGUUGUAAACCUCUUUCAGCAGGGACGAAGCGCAAGUGACGGUACCUGCAGAAGAAGCACCGGCCAACUACGUGCCAGCAGCCGCGGUAAUACGUAGGGUGCGAGCGUUGUCCGGAAUUACUGGGCGUAAAGAGCUCGUAGGCGGUUUGUCGCGUCGUCUGUGAAAACCAGGGGCUCAACCCCUGGCUUGCAGGCGAUACGGGCAGACUUGAGUACUGCAGGGGAGACUGGAAUUCCUGGUGUAGCGGUGAAAUGCGCAGAUAUCAGGAGGAACACCGGUGGCGAAGGCGGGUCUCUGGGCAGUAACUGACGCUGAGGAGCGAAAGCGUGGGUAGCGAACAGGAUUAGAUACCCUGGUAGUCCACGCCGUAAACGGUGGGCGCUAGGUGUGGGUUUCCUUCCACGGGAUCCGUGCCGUAGCUAACGCA